CAGCCGCCGCGGGAAUACGAAGGGGGCUAGCGUUGUUCGGAAUUACUGGGCGUAAAGCGCACGUAGGCGGAUAUUUAAGUCAGGGGUGAAAUCCCGCAGCUCAACUGCGGAACUGCCUUUGAUACUGGGUAUCUUGAGUAUGGAAGAGGUUAGUGGAAUUGCGAGUGUAGAGGUGAAAUUCGUAGAUAUUCGCAGGAACACCAGUGGCGAAGGCGGCUAACUGGUCCAUAACUGACGCUGAGGUGCGAAAGCGUGGGGAGCAAACAGGAUUAGAUACCCCGGUAGUCCCUGUCUCUUAUAA
rnacentral:rRNA from 1 species